rnacentral:rRNA from 1 species
CAGUCGCCGCGGUAAUACAGAGGGUGCGAGCGUUAAUCGGAUUUACUGGGCGUAAAGCGUGCGUAGGCGGCUUUUUAAGUCGGAUGUGAAAUCCCUGAGCUUAACUUAGGAAUUGCAUUCGAUACUGGGAAGCUAGAGUAUGGGAGAGGAUGGUAGAAUUCCAGGUGUAGCGGUGAAAUGCGUAGAGAUCUGGAGGAAUACCGAUGGCGAAGGCAGCCAUCUGGCCUAAUACUGACGCUGAGGUACGAAAGCAUGGGGAGCAAACAGGAUUAGAUACCCCGGUAGUCCCUGUCUCUUAUCC